UACGGAGGGUGCAAGUGUUAUCCGGAUUCACUGGGUUUAAAGGGUGCGUAGGUGGGCAGGUAAGUCCGUGGUGAAAUCUCUGAGCUUAACUCAGAAACUGCCGUGGAUACUAUUUGUCUUGAAUAUUGUGGAGGUGAGCGGAAUAUGUCAUGUAGCGGUGAAAUGCUUAGAUAUGACAUAGAACACCAAUUGCGAAGGCAGCUCACUACACAAUUAUUGACGCUGAGGCACGAAAGCGUGGGGAUCAAACAGG
rnacentral:rRNA from 1 species